rnacentral:rRNA from 1 species
UACGUAGGGUGCGAGCGUUGUCCGGAAUUAUUGGGCGUAAAGAGCUCGUAGGCGCCUGUCGCGUCGGAUGUGAAAGCCCCGGGGCUUAACCCCCGGGGUCUGCAUUCGAUACGGGCAGGCUAGAGUUCGGUAGGGGGAGAUCGGAAUUCCUGGUGUAGCGGUGAAAUGCGCAGAUAUCAGGAGGAACACCGGUGGCGAAGGCGGCCAACUGGACAGAUAUUUGACGCUGAGACUCGAAAAGCGUGGGGGAGCAAACAGG